rnacentral:rRNA from 1 species
GGAAUUUUGGACAAUGGGCGCAAGCCUGAUCCAGCCAUGCCGCGUGAGUGAAGAAGGCCUUCGGGUUGUAAAGCUCUUUCGCGAGGGAAGCAAACGUACGGGCCAAUACCAUGUGCGGAUUACGGUACCUUGAUAAGACGCACCGGCUAACUACGUCACAGCAGCCGCGGUAAUACGUAGGGUGCGAGCGUUAAUCGGAAUUACUGGGCGUAAAGCGUGCGCAGGCGGUUUUGUAAGACAGAUGUGAAAGCCCCGGGCUUAACCUGGGGACUGCGUUUGUGACUGCAAGGCUAGAGUACGGCAGAGGGGGGUGGAAUUCCACGUGUAGCAGUGAAAUGCGUAGAUAUGUGGAGGAACACCGAUGGCGAAGGCAGCCCCCUGGGCCUGUACUGACGCUCAUGCACGAAAGCGUGGGGAGCAAAC